UUUCUCUUUUCUUCUAGAAGAGACUUGGACCAGAUCUCUUGGGCAGGAAGACUGGCUCUGGGACUCGAGGAAGACGGGAUCUGAACGGCGUGCCGAAGAGCUGAGAGAUCUUUUCUCAGCAUGGAUCCCAUUUUUCUGGUCCCCAUCCUUGUUUUCCUCCAUGCCGGGUUCCCACCAGCCUCAGCUGCAGAAGAACUGCCUCCCCCAGAACUUACUGUGAAUCCCAAAUAUGAUCUAUAUUAUGAAGGUGAAA